rnacentral:rRNA from 1 species
CACGUAGGGUGCGAGCGUUGUCCGGAAUUAUUGGGCGUAAAGAGCUCGUAGGCGGUGUGUCGCGUCGGCCGUGAAAACCUGCAGCUUAACUGUGGGCUUGCGGUCGAUACGGGCAUCACUGGAGUUCGGCAGGGGAGACUGGAAUUCCUGGUGUAGCGGUGAAAUGCGCAGAUAUCAGGAGGAACACCGGUGGCGAAGGCGGGUCUCUGGGCAGUAACUGACGCUGAGGAACGAAAGCGUGGGUAGCGAACAGG